UACGAAGGGGGCUAGCGUUGCUCGGAAUUACUGGGCGUAAAGGGAGCGUAGGCGGAUAGUUAAGUCAGAGGUGAAAGCCCAGGGCUCAACCUUGGAAUUGCCUUUGAUACUGGCUAUCUUGAGUAUGGGAGAGGUGUGUGGAACUCCGAGUGUAGAGGUGAAAUUCGUAGAUAUUCGGAAGAACACCAGUGGCGAAGGCGACACACUGGCCCAUUACUGACGCUGAGGCUCGAAAGCGUGGGGAGCAAACAGG
rnacentral:rRNA from 1 species